rnacentral:rRNA from 1 species
GGACAAUGGGGGAAACCAUGAUCCAGCCAUGACGCGUGUGUGAAGAAGGCCCUCGGGUUGUAGAGCACUUUCAGCGAGGAAGCACGCCUAGCGGUUGAUGCCCGCUAGGAAAGACAUCACUCGCAGAAGAAGCACCGGAUAACUCCGUGCCAGCAGCCGCGGUAAUACGGAGGGCGCAAGCGUUAAUCGGAAUUACUGGGCAAAAAGCUCGCGUAGGUGGCUUGAUAAGCCGGUUGUGAAAGCCCCGGGCUCAACCUGGGAACGGCAUCUGGAACUGUCAAUAUAGAGUGCUGGAGAGGAAGGUAGAAUUCCCGGUGUAGCGGAGAAAUGCGUAGAUAUCGGGAGGAAUCCCAGUGGAGAAGGCGUCUUUGUGGACUGACACAGACAGUGAGGUGAGAAAGCGUGGGUAGCAAACGGGAUUAGAUCCCCUGGUAGUACACGCUGUAAGCGAUGUCGUCCAGCCGUUGGGACCUAGCGCAUUUUGUGGCGAAGUAACGCAAUAAGUGAC